GUCCUGUUACUCACUUUUGAGCUUGUGUUUUCAGGUUGACCAACAAAUGACCAAUGAGGCCAAUUCUUUUUGAUUGAGUUUGCUUGAAUAUCAUUGUUUAACUUGUUGUUUUGUAGGUGGCUUGGCUCUCAAGCCUUAAGCCUUGUGCAUUGCACAUUCAUUUGCUUCUGACUAACUGUUAAUGUCUGUUUCCUUUUGCUUUGAUUUGAGUUGCAUACUAACAUCUGCUUGAC
rnacentral:lncRNA from 1 species